GCAACAUCAGAGCUGACUUUUAGUUUUCAUGCCUGGAAUCAGGGAAUUGAUUCUUUUUAGGAUCGAAUCCCAGCACCUUCGAUGUGAACCGAAAGCAGGAUGACAACUUGAUCACUUGACACACAACAUAUAUGAAGAGGCAGAAGCUCAAGCAGAGACAAAUUCAUAAAAAGUGGACCAGUCACAAAGACACUAGGAGCUUACCUGAACAUCAUCAGCACUGUGGUCUCAUAGUUUGUUCUCUCCACAUCUGAUACGCUCAACGCAUGACUUUUGUCCCAUUUCCUGGGGCAGCCACAGAGACCAGAGAGCGUUUCUCUUUGAACAGCCAUAUAUAAGAAGACUUCCCCAAAUAUUACAAGUGUUCUGACAUAAUGACUGACCCCACCAUUGAAUACUCACCAGGAAAACUACGUAAUUUAUAUAUUUAUAAUAAUAACAACUAAACAGAAAGAAACUAUACGUUUAACAACAACAGCAAAAAAAAAAUCUCUGUAGAUACCAUAACUGCUUCACAGACAUUUUCAUGCUGUUUCCAGUCGGUGUAAGUUUUACUGACAGGGCCAUAACUGACUUUAGAGCUGGUUUGGGUACUUUGAAAAAACCCCAAAACACUGAUAGACAGUGUUUUUCAAAGUACCCAAACCAGCUUUAAAGUCGGUUAUGUACUGCUUUGCUGAAACCCACAGAGAUAAAUUAAAAUUAGUAACAGCCAAAAUU